rnacentral:rRNA from 1 species
GUCGAGCGGAAACGAUGGGAGCUUGCUACCAGGCGUCGAGCGGCGGACGGGUGAGUAACGCGUGAGAAUCUGCCCAUUUGUGGGGGAUAACUCGGGGAAACUCGAGCUAAUACCGCAUAAUCCCUACGGGGGAAAGCAGGGGACCUUCGGACCUUGUGCAGAUGGAUGAGCUCGCGUCGGAUUAGCUUGUUGGUGAGGUAAUGGCUCACCAAGGCGACGAUCCGUAGCUGGUCUGAGAGGAUGAUCAGCCACACCGGGACUGAGACACGGCCCGGACUCCUACGGGAGGCAGCAGUGGGGAAUCUUGGACAAUGGGGGCAACCCUGAUCCAGCCAUGCCGCGUGUGUGAAGAAGGCCUUCGGGUUGUAAAGCACUUUCAGUAGGGAGGAAGGCUUACCGCUAAUAACCGGGAGUACUUGACGUUACCUACAGAAGAAGCACCGGCUAAUUUCGUGCCAGCAGCCGCGGUAAUACGAAAGGUGCGAGCGUUAAUCGGAAUUACUGGGCGUAAAGCGCGCGUAGGCGGUUUGUUAAGUCAGAUGUGAAAGCCCCGGGCUCAACCUGGGAAUUGCAUUUGAAACUGGCAGGCUAGAGUGCAGUAGAGGGAGGUGGAAUUUCCGGUGUAGCGGUGAAAUGCGUAGAGAUCGGAAGGAACACCAGUGGCGAAGGCGGCCUCCUGGACUGACACUGACGCUGAGUGCGAAAGCGUGGGGAGCAAACAGGAUUAGAUACCCUGGUAGUCCACGCCGUAAACGAUGUCUACUAGUCGUUGGGAAUCUUAGUAUUCUUGGUGACGAAGUUACGCGAUAAGUAGACCGCCUGGGGAGUACGGCCGCAAGGUUAAAACUCAAAUGAAUUGACGGGGGCCCGCACAAGCGGUGAGCAUGUGGUUUAAUUCGAUGCAACGCGAAGACUUACAGCUGACAUCCUGGACUUUCUAGAGAUAGAUGUGCUCGGAGCCAGUGACAGUGCUGCAUGCUGUCGUCAGCUCUGUCUGAGAUGUGGGUAGU